rnacentral:rRNA from 1 species
UACGUAGGGCGCAAGCGUUAUCCGGAAUUAUUGGGCGUAAAGAGCUCGUAGGCGGUUUGUCGCGUCUGCUGUGAAAGACCGGGGCUCAACUCCGGUUCUGCAGUGGGUACGGGCAGACUAGAGUGAUGUAGGGGAGACUGGAAUUCCUGGUGUAGCGGUGAAAUGCGCAGAUAUCAGGAGGAACACCGGUGGCGAAGGCGGGUCUCUGGGCAACAACUGACGCUGAGGAGCGAAGGCUAGGGGAGCAAACGGG